AUUGAACGCUGGCGGCAGGCCUAACACAUGCAAGUCGAGCGGAUGACGGGAGCUUGCUCCUUGAUUCAGCGGCGGACGGGUGAGUAAUGCCUAGGAAUCUGCCUGGUAGUGGGGGACAACGUUUCGAAAGGAACGCUAAUACCGCAUACGUCCGACGGGAGAAAGCAGGGGACCUUCGGGCCUUGCGCUAUCAGAUGAGCCUAGGUCGGAUUAGCUUGUUGGUGAGGUAAUGGCUCACCAAGGCGACGAUCCGUAACUGGUCUGAGAGGAUGAUCAGUCACACUGGAACUGAGACACGGUCCAGACUCCUACGGGAGGCAGCAGUGGGGAAUAUUGGACAAUGGGCGAAAGCCUGAUCCAGCCGUGCCGCGUGUGUGAAGAAGGUCUUCGGAUUGUAAAGCACUUUAAGUUGGGAGGAAGGGUUGUAGAUUAAUACUCUGCAAUUUUGACGUUACCGACAGAAUAAGCACCGGCUAACUCUGUGCCAGCCGCCGCCGUAAUAC
rnacentral:rRNA from 1 species